UUGACCAAGACAGUUAGGCGUGUAUAACGUACUGGAAAAUUUCAUCUUUAACACUUGUUUAUUUACAAUGGCGAUGUAUCACACAUUGCGUGCGGGGAUGUGACUCAUGUGGUAACUUGUGAUGAUAGCGAUCAAUAUCACUCCUCUCAAGAAUUAAACGAUGAUGUUAAGGUUGUCAGUUCAAAAUGGCUAGAGAGCUGCUUUAGAAAAAGAAGAAUUCAGGAAACAGAACCGUAUGAAAAACAGAGGAAGGAAAAGAAUUAAUGUUAAAGUGUACUUGGUAGCGAAAUUAAACUUUUUUCUUUUGUUUUUUUA